rnacentral:rRNA from 1 species
UGGUCUGUAACUGACGNUGAGGCUCGAAAGCGUGGGUAGCAAACAGGAUUAGAUACCCUGGUAGUNCACGCCGUAAACGAUGAGUGCUAAGUGUUGGAGGGUUUCCGCCCUUCAGUGCUGCAGUUAACGCAUUAAGCACUCCGCCUGGGGAGUACGACCGCAAGGUUGAAACUCAAGGGAAUUGACGGGGACCCGCACAAGCGGUGGAGCAUGUGGUUUAAUUCGAGGCAACGCGAAGAACCUUACCAAGUCUUGACAUCCUUUGACCACUCUAGAGAUAGAGCUUUCCCUUCGGGGACAAAGUGACAGGUGGUGCAUGGUUGUCGUCAGCUCGUGUCGUGAGAUGUUGGGUUAANNNNNNNNAACGAGCGCAACCCUUAUUACUAGUUGCCAGCAUUGAGUUGGGCACUCUAGUGAGACUGCCGGUGACAAACCGGAGGAAGGUGGGGAUGACGUCAAAUCAUCAUGCCCCUUAUGACUUGGGCUACACACGUGCUUCAAUGGAUGGUACAACGAGCAGCGAACUCGCGAGGGUAAGCGAAUCUCUUAAAGCCAUUCUCAGUUCGGAUUGUAGGCUGCAACUCGCCUACAUGAAGCCGGAAUCGCUAGUAAUCGCGGAUCAGCACGCCGCGGUGAAUACGUUCCCGGGUCU